UACAGGAGGGGGCAAGCGUUAUUCGGAAUUAUUGGGCGUAAAGGGCGCGUAGGCGGCUUUUCAAGUGACGGGUGAAAGCCCUCGGCUUAACCGAGGAACUGCCUGUCAGACUGGAAGGCUUGAGACCGGGAGAGGUGAGUGGAAUUCCCAGUGUAGCGGUGAAAUGCGUAGAUAUUGGGAGGAACACCAGUGGCGAAGGCGGCUCACUGGACCGGAACUGACGCUGAGGCGCGAAAGCGUGGGGAGCAAACAGGG
rnacentral:rRNA from 1 species